rnacentral:misc_RNA from 1 species
GUGAAUCAUCGAAUUUUUGAACGCAUAUUGCACUCUCUGGUAUUCCGGAGAGUAUGCCUGUUUGAGGGUAAUUAAAAAGAAUCUUCACCAAUUUUUGUGGUUAAAGGAUAUGGGUUCCCCGCGUUGGUAGCGAUAGCUUGAAAUAAAUGGUCAAGUCUCAUUUUAGUCGGGACGCGUAAUAAUAUUGUUGCGCGAAAUCUUCGUUAUGUGACUAUCAAGUUUUGAU